UACGGGGGGGGCAAGCGUUGUUCGGAAUUACUGGGCGUAAAGGGCUCGUAGGUGGCCAACUAAGUCAGACGUGAAAUCCCUCGGCUUAACCGGGGAACUGCGUCUGAUACUGGAUGGCUAGAGUCCGGAAGAGGAGAGUGGAAUUCCUGGUGUAGCGGUGAAAUGCGCAGAUAUCAGGAAGAACACCAAUGGCGAAGGCAGCUCUCUGGGACGGUACUGACACUGAGACGCGAAAGCGUGGGGAGCGAACAGG
rnacentral:rRNA from 1 species